rnacentral:rRNA from 1 species
GAUGAACGCUGGCGGCGUGCUUAACACAUGCAAGUCGAACGGACAGGCCCUGAUCUUGUGGGGUGCUCGAGUGGCGCACGGGUGAGUAACACGUGAGUAACCUGUCCUUGACAUUGGGAUAACUUCAGGAAAAUGGGGCUCAUAUCGGAUAGGAGCUCCUGCUGCACGGUGGGGGUUGGAAAGUUUCGGUGGUAGGGGAUGGUCUAGAGGGUUAUGGGCUUGUUGGUGGGGUAGUGGCAUACCAAGGCUUUGACGGAUAGCCGACCUGGGAGGGUGGACGGCGACAAUGGGACUAAGAUAGGGCGCAGACGCGUACGGUACGCAACAGGGGAGAGUAUUACGGAGUAGGCGGGAGCCAGUGGCGACGACGCCGCGUGCGGAAAAACGGCCUUCGAGUGAUGAACCACUGUCGCCGUAGACGAGGCGGUAUUGACGGUAAUGAAUAAGGAAGCACCGGCUAACUACGUG